rnacentral:rRNA from 1 species
AAGUAUACUCUAGACUUAAAAUUCAUUCAAAUAAGGUACAGCCUAUUUGAAACAGGAUACAACCUACAACAGAGGGUAAUGCUAAACUAAUGUGACCAAGUAGGCCUAAAAGCAGCCACCUUUUAAAAAGCGUUAAAGCUCCAUCACACUUUGUUAUUAAUCCCAAUCUAAGCCCAAAACCCCUCACCCAUACUAAAUGACUCCAUACUUAUAUGGAAGGCCUUAUGUUUGAACUAGUAACAAGAAUAACUUCUCCAUAAAUGUAAGUGUAAGCCGAAACGGACUUCCCCAUCGACACUUACCGCCAAUGAAUCAACAGUAAUAACUCGACCAAGAAAACCUUACUACCCCGGGCGUUAACCUUACACAAGAACUUUUCCGGAAAGAUUAAAAAAAGAGGAA